rnacentral:rRNA from 1 species
UACGUAGGGGGCAAGCGUUGUCCGGAAUCAUUGGGCGUAAAGAGCGUGUAGGCGGCUCGGUAAGUCCGCUGUGAAAGUCCAGGGCUCAACCCUGGAAAGCCGGUGGAAACUGUCGAGCUCGAGUCCGGAAGAGGCGAGUGGAAUUCCUGGUGUAGCGGUGAAAUGCGCAGAUAUCAGGAGGAACACCGGUGGCGAAGGCGGGUCUCUGGGCCAUAACUGACACUGAGACGCGAAAGCGUGGGGAGCGAACAGG